GAUGAACGCUAGCGGGAGGCUUAACACAUGCAAGUCGAGGGGCAUCACGAGGUAGCAAUACUUUGGUGGCGACCGGCGCACGGGUGAGUAACGCGUAUGCAACCUACCCUGUACAGGGGGAUAGCCCGGAGAAAUUCGGAUUAAUACCCCAUAAUGAUAUUUUAUGGCAUCAUAAAAUAUUUAAAGCUCAGGCGGUACGGGAUGGGCAUGCGUAACAUUAGCUAGUUGGUAGGGUAAUGGCCUACCAAGGCGACGAUGUUUAGGGGUCCUGAGAGGGUGAUCCCCCACACUGGUACUGAGACACGGACCAGACUCCUACGGGAGGCAGCAGUGAGGAAUAUUGGUCAAUGGGCGCGAGCCUGAACCAGCCAUCCCGCGUGAAGGAAGACUGCCCUAUGGGUCGUAAACUUCUUUUCCAGGGGAAUAAAAUCUCGAACGAGUUCGGGACUGAAGGUACCCUGGGAAUAAGCAUCGGCUAACUCCGUGCCAGCCGCCGCGGUAAUAC
rnacentral:rRNA from 1 species